CCUACGGGUGGCUGCAGUGGGGGAUAUUGCACAAUGGGGGAAAGCCUGAUGCAGCGACGCCGCGUGAGCGAUGAAGUAUUUCGGUAUGUAAAGCUCUAUCAGCAGGGAAGAUAAUGACGGUACUUGACCAAGAAGCCCCGGCUAACUACGUGCCAGCAGCCGCGGUAAUACGUAGGGGGCAAGCGUUAUCCGGAUUUACUGGGGGUAAAGGGAGCGUAGGGGGUUAUUUAAGUCUGGAGUGAAAGCGCGGGGCCCAACCCCGGGACAGCUUUGGAAACUGGGUAACUGGAGUACAGGAGGGGAGAGCGGAAUUCCUGGUGUAGCGGUGAAAUGCGUAGAUAUCAGGAGGAACACCAGCGGCGAAGGCGGCUUUCUGGACUGUAACUGACGUUGAGGCUCGAAAGCGUGGGGAGCAAACAGGAUUAGAUACCCCUGUAGUC
rnacentral:rRNA from 1 species